UUUGCCCCAAAUACUAAUAACCUAAGAUGAGUAAUAUAAUAUUCUCUAAGUAAAUGUAUUAAAUAAUUAGCAUAAGAAGAUACAGAAAAGGAAGGAAAUGAGAAUUUAAAGCUAUCACAUAUGUUCCAUCUUAAAAGUUGUGUCCUGAUGAAUGAUUUACGCUAUGUUGAUUCUUUUUAUGAAAUUAAUUUUUUAUUCAGAUUUGGGGUUUAUUGUUCAUGCAAAUAAUUUGAUCAUAACAGCUAUAGUUUGGUUGAGUCUUAACAUGAAAAAUAGAUUUCAGAGAUUAAGAGGAUGAGGUAAGUAUUGCCAAGUUAGCUUCCCCAUAGUGGGAACAGCCAGCUGGGCCUAUAUGGUGGUGCCCUCUUUUUAUAGGCCACCCUUUUGUGGAUGCAUGGCUGAGCAAUGCCUUGUAGUUAUAUCCUGUGCUUAGCAUUUUUUGAGAGAUGAAAGUAUGAGGUAAAACUCCUAAAAAUUCUAUCACAUUUCUUGAUUAUGGAUGUAACUUUUUAUUUUUGAAUUCCAAAUAGUUGUCUACUGAAUUUGUGUGAUGAAAUUUACCCUUAGGGAUUACACUAUUAUCCAUUAUCUAGGUUGCAUUCGCCCAUGUUUACAUGCAUGCUUUCAAGUGUUCCUUACAUUGUUGUAAAAUGCGAAAGUGUCGUUGACUUCAACCGGAACAUUAAUAUGAGAGAGAAUUGAUGGCCAUCGUGUUCGCCAUCCAAAAGUGGCGCCAUUACUUAUUGGGUAGACACUUCGUGGUACGAACAGACCAACGAAGCUUGAAGUUCUUGUUGGAAUAGCGUUUGGUGAGCGAGAUGCAUCAAAAGUGGUUAACUAAAAUCAUGGGCUACAACUUUGACAUCGGAUAUUAGCUGAGGGUGGAGAAUAAAGCUGCAAAUUCUCUUUCCAGAGUUCAGCCGGCUUUGAAUCUGUUGGCUCUGUCCACUUCUAAAGUGCUACAAUUAGAAGAUAUCAAGAAAGAGGUUGCUGCUGAUGGUAUUCUAGGAAAACCAGUGCUGAGCUGCAAUUUGAGAACAGUGUGAAAGAGGGAUAUGCCUUGAUCGACGGCGUAUUAUGUUAGAAGGGGAGGGUUGUUCUUCCUAGCCAUUCCAAUUUUGUCACUCUCAUGUUACAAGAAUGCCAUGACUCUAAGAUUGGGGGACACUCAAGAUUUCUUAAGACAUAUAAGAGGAUUGCGAAGAGGUCUAUUGGCAAGGGAUGAAGAGGAAGAUGAAGGACUAUGUGGCAGGAUGUGGGAUAUGUCAGCAGAAUAAAUAUACGGCUUUAUCGCCUGAGGGGGCUAUUGCUUCCUUUACAGGUUCCCAAAUCUAUCUGGGAGGAUAUCUCAUUGGAUUUUAUCAAUGGACUGCCACAAUCGAGGAGAGUUGACACCAUUUUGGCUGUUGUGGAUCAUCUAAGUAAGUAUGGACAUUUCAUAGGGUUAAAGCACCUUUCACUACCCCCCAAGUUGGUGAGGAAUUUAGUCAAGAGAUAAUUCGCUUGCAUGGUUUUCCUCGCUCUAUUGUGUCAGAUAGAGAUUGCUUCUUUAUGAGUACAUUCUGGACGAAAUUAUUUAAAGCAUAGGGGACUGCCCUUACACACAGCACAGCCUACCAUCCGCAAACGGAUGGACAAACAGAAGUCCUGAACAUAUACCUGGAGACAUACCUGAGGUGUUUCGCUUUAAAUAGGCCUCAAGUUGGGAGUCAGUUCUUGCAUUAGGCGAAGUACUGGUAUAACACUUCUUUCCAUACCGCAACGAGACAUUCUUCGUUUCAAAUAGUAUAUGGCCAUGAUUCACCCCACCUAUUGGCUCUUGAAAAGAGGUUGACACCUUGUUCAUCUGUGGAUCAACUUUUGCUGGAAUGAGAUGAAAUGCGGGAACUAUUUAUCUCAAAAUUCGGCCUUAUCGUCAGAAAUCUUUGGCUAGGCAUCCAAAUGAAAAGUUAUCUCCUCGUCACUAUUGCCCUUUUGUGGUUGAAUCGAAAGUGGGAAGGGUAACGUACAAGCUUAAACUCCCUGCCUCGGAAGCUAUUCAUCCUGUUUUCCAUAUAUCCCAGUUGCGUAAGGCCAUUGGUAAUGUUAAGCCCAUUUCUGCUCUCCCUCCACAGUUCUCUGCUACAGGGAAAUUCAUCUUGGAGCCAGAGACCGCUUUGGGAGUUUGCCCUAAUGCUAUUCACAUUGCUGUAGGUCCGGACAUUUUGAUCAAGUGGAAGAAUCUUCCAACGUUUGAGGCUACUUGAGAACUUUUUUAGACAAUUCAGAAUUUCCAGUGAAGAAGCCACAUCGUGAGUCACAGGACCAAGGGACCUAUCAGGUUUUUAUCUAGCUUGCUGGAAUUUGGUUCCACAUUACAUUGAUCUUUCAUGUGUUUGAUUAAAAUAGGUUGAUGUAUUGUCAUUUCAAAAAAAGAAGCAAAUGGCUCCCACAAAUUAUUUUUUACCGAAUACAAGUGUAGGGCUGUAGCUCAAGAAAGGAACUUCACUUUCGAAAAUUCCACGUUAAUUAUAGUGGUGCAAAUGGUGCAUAUUACUCUUCGUCUAGAACAAGGACGAUGGGUAAUGAUGGAGUAAGUAAAAUUCAAGUAAAAGUGAUUCUCUUUUUGAAUUUUCUGCUGGUUCGCUUCUUAAUUCUACUUUAUAACAAUGGAAAAACAUAAGCUAAUUCAUCUAUAGGUCAAGCAUCUCAUAUACUAUCAAGGGAGAUCUAUGAGAAGGUGUUAUCUCUGGUCCUUUGAUGUUCAUCAUGUCUCAUUCUUUCAUUGAGUUAUUAAUUUAUAUAUAUUUCAUUUGAAAUACUAGAGGUAAAUACUAGAGGUAUAUAUUUCAUUGAGUUAUUAAUUUAUAUAUAUUUCAUUUCGUUACAAAAAAUCUAAACGCAAAUGGUAGGAUGGACACAAUGCUAACCCUACAUAUUCUUAUUGAAGGUAUGUAUUACUAUUCCAUGAUACAUUUUAUGUAACUUUCAGUUCACUGUCAAUUAAUUUUCUUCCUCGUUUAGAUGAACUUGGUGGUUUUAAUGACAUUCUCAGUGCUCGGGUUGGUCAUUGUUUGGUGAGAAAGAGAGAUAUCAUUGCCCAUUAUACUGAUUACAAUGUCAGUGUUUGAUUUUCGUGCAUUUUUUUUUUGAACUUCUCUGGUAUCUUUCAAUUUUGAAGACUCUAGGGUCUUCUCAAGUUGUCUUAUGGUUGCUAAAAUUAGCAGCAAAUGCAGUGUAACUAUAGAAUGUAAAUAAAAAGAUUUCAUUUUGAAUUCUUUUUUUAUUGGACUUUGUGGUUUUCAAUCUUUAUGUGAUAAGGUAAGUUGUGAAUUCCCUUUCUUAUCGAUGUAAGUUAUUUAUAGAAAAUUGUAUGCUUUGUUUAUUAAUUAAUUGGUUCUUUCAUGCUGAUCCAAAAUGAUGACUUUUUGUCUUCCAAAGAUGCAUUCUUUAAUUCACGCUAGUUGAUAGUGUCAACUACUGUGGUUUCCUAGCCUUUUUUGAUGACCUAUCACUGUGUAUACUAGAUCCUGUGAAGUACAUCAAUUUAUUUUGAAUAGGAUUCAAAAUAUGAUGCAUCAAGGCGUAGCAUUCAUACUGCUUCUCAUUAGAACCUAUCGGCAAAAAAGUUUUGUUUCACUAGUAUUUAUUAAUUAUUUGAUACCAAUGCUCUCAAGUGCUACUUUAUCACAUGUCUCUUAAUAUUAUUUUUGUCACCUAUCAUUAUUUCUUUAGAUGUCUUUGUUUAUCAUUUUUACGAGUCUCACACUUCAUCAAAUAUGAAAUUGUUAGCCAGAUAUGAUAAUUAUAUUGGGUGGCACCUUCUGUUAUUCAGUAUCUAAAAGUAAUUUGUCCCUAUUAAACAAGUCUAGAAAAAAAGCUUCCAAUCAAAUCUCUUAAUAUUAUAUUGUAACCUAUAAUCAUUUCAGGUGCUUAAGUUUGAUGUAAUCAAUGCAUAACACAAAUAAUAUUUUUUGUAUCUACGCUAUAAUAUAAUCAAUUACUCAAUGACUUGUGCCUUGCACGUGCGUUUCACUAGUAUAUAUUAAAAUUUUCUAGUGUGAAAUUCUUCCAAAAUCUUGAGAUGAAUGAGAGACAAAUUUUGAAAUGUUAUUUUAGUACUUUUUACUUAAAAGUUAGUACUUUAGAAACUUUUAUAAAAGUUUUUAAAAGUUACUGGUAUUUUGAAUUAUAUUCAUGACUUAUUAAGACUUCUAAAAAAUUUUAAUUGAAUACAUCGAAACUUUUAAAACUUUUUAAAAGUUCAUAAAAAUCUCGAUUGAAUACACCAAUACUUUUAGAAGGUAUUAAAAAAUCUACAUUAAAUACCCCUAUGUUGUAAAUUAUAUGUUUAUUAUUGAAUGAUGAUUAUACCCAUGUAGCCUUAGUUAUUAUAAUUAUUAUAUCUGUUGUGGCCAUAAUAAUUUCGUAUAAUUAUGGAACUUUGAUUUUCAAUCAAAUGCACACAAGUCUAUAGACUUCUCCAUUUUCUUCUCUUUUACUUAUAUUUCAUAACAUGUUAUUAGCACAAAGUUCUAACUAAUUGAGUAAGCAAAAAUUUCCUAUAUCAGUUUACAAAUCUGUAAUCAAUUUGAGAUAGCAAAAGCAAUUUCUUAUAAGAAAAAAGAAGGCAACAUUACUUCAUCUAUAACCAAAAGAAAUUUCAAUUCUAAUCACCAUUUGCAUCAUAAUUAAAGUCAAAUCAUUAAAAAGUGUAGUGAUGCUUAUUUUCAUGUGAAUGGGAGAAUAUGCGUGUUUUUAAUAUCGACUAUCUCAUGGUAUUUUUUUAUAUUUUUUUUAAUAUUAUGUGAUUGCAUAACUGGAAGUCAAUUCUUAUUCCUUUAGGGGUGUGUGUGUGUGUGUGUGUACACACACACACACGGUACCAGAAGAGGUUGUUAUUGGGCUGGCCUAAAGUCAAGAACAGUUCCAGAUGGUCCAAUGGAUUAAGCCAUUUUCAGAGGAUGACACGAAGAAGGAAAGUUAAGAAAAACCUCCCCGUUCAUAAAUGAAAUAAAAAUUAAUGGAAUUUUGCUAUUUGUAUGAGCUUCCCAAGACAGAGGUUAUGUCACUACCGGACACUAAGAUGCGGAGGUUUAAUCAUUCUUCUCAAUCGGAGUGGAAAGGCCCGUUGACACCUCGAGCUAUAUCCCUGAAAUCGCCUCGUUUUCGCUUUAAUUUGAAGUCGCUCCGUGGAGUGGGAUUAAAAUGAUCAAACGUCAAGGGUUGCAAAAUCAGCUUUUUAUGCAAAAAAGAAGAGUAAGCAGAGUGGCUGUUGGUUUCGUUGAAGACAUGAAGGCGAGAACUCGUAAAUACUUUCUAUAUUAAUCCCAUGGCUAUCUCAUUUCUUGUAAUUCCCUCGCAGUUCCACAGGUUAGUGAUGGAAGAGGCGGUACGAAUGAUCGCGACAACCAAGAACAAAUGCUACGAACUCGAGUCUAAGUUGGUGGAGUUCAAUAGGGUCAAGUUCUCGGGCUAAGAAGAAGACUACCAAGGCAGCUGCUGCUCCCAGCGCAGCUACCAUAGAAAAGAAAGCCAAGUGGGUGCCGUUGAGGUCUGUCUUCGUGAUAAGAAGAAUCUGGGCAAAACCUCUCUCCUAAGACCCGGUUAAGGUAACUCACUAAAGGGGCUAAGGAAAUGAUCCUAGACAAUGAAGAAGAUAACCCCCAAGGUCUUUCAUGGCAAAGGAUUUCUGAAGUAUACACACACACACAUAUAUACAUACAUAAAUACACACACAUAAAUGAGUGUGUGUGUGUGUGUAGUUGCACCAUUAUUCUUCUUUUAUUGAUUCCUUUUUUGUAAUAAUGCAUCAUGUUGUUGCUUUUUAAUAAAUACAAUAUUAAUAGUCUACUAAAAUA